GGAAAUAUAGGAGCCUGAAUACAGAAGAAAAGCAAAGCAAAUUGACAGAGAGUCUUCAUGGGCUGAUUUGGGCCCUAGUCUCAGCUGGGAAUAAAGCCAAUGCCAUCCCUCAGAGAUCAAAGGUCCAAAAGUUGGGAAGUGUGGAGAGCCAGAGAACACAGGAAGAUUUUCUGUGAUGUUAGAAACAAAAUGGUGUAAUACAAGCUGGGAGCUCAUAAAGAAGACAUAAACUACUGUGCCUCCUCCCCAAAGCAGAAGGUCUGCCUUUUAGAGCAUUUUAUCUCUUUUAGUAAUUAUGAAAUGCAUUAAAAAAAACUUAAGGAUGUUUAUAAGUAAUUCACAUGAAAGAAACUGCGUGUAGAAAAUAACCACAUAUGAAAAUAUUCGAACUAGUUAUUGAGGUACAAAGUUAAAAUAAUAACAAAAGGAUUACAACAUAAACCUGGUGAGGCUGUGGUAAAACAGAUAUACACAAAUACUUUUAAGGAAAUCAACGUAGUGAUUAUUUCUUAUUUUGAGAAUUUCUAACUCUCUGGAAGUCUGUUAGGUGGGACUCUAAGCUCUUGGUAAAUACCCUUACCAAACUGCAAUUCUCAAGUUUAUGUUUAAGUGCUCUGAAGUUCUACAAGCCUUUUGAGAAACCAUCAUCUAAUGUAAGACUUUUUAAUUUCAGGGCAUGAAUUACAAUUUUAGAUGCCUGCAAUUUCUAUGUUUCAAAGACAAUUCACUUCCAAGAAACAGAAGGGGUUGAGAGUCUGAUUUUCAUAAAAUGUGGAGUAAGAGGAAAAUUUGUAACUAACAAUAUAUUAAUGCCAUUUAACAUAUUAUCACUAUUUAGCUGAUGAUUUUGCAACUCUGAAAAGAGAGAACUAUAUAACCAAGCACAUGUUUUUAAUUAGGUAAACUUAAUUAUAUUAAAAUUAUUUACCAUACUAGGAUUUAAAAAAUUUUUAUCUAAACAUGAAAAUAGAUAAAUUCGUUGGCUAAAUCUGGGUAGUUUUAUGUGGUUCUGCUAGAGCUUCUGUAAUUCUGCUAUAUCUCAAAAAUCCAAAUGGAAAUUCUAUUAUUCAGAUACAUAAUAAACACCAAGAGUCAUUAAACUUUAAACUUAUCUGUAUUCAGAAAUCAGUAAAUGCAUUAUGCUGACAUACAAAUGAAUAUGCUCCUAGGAGUGAGAUAAACAAGACUGAUGAUUUUAUUUAUGGUAAAUAACCAUUAUAUAUAGCCAAAACAAUGGAAGUAAAAUAUGCUUGACCUGUGAUGGGGGUGAUACUAGUUCAAGGUAGAUCUUGUUGUUCUUGGUGAAGGGAAUGCAAGUCGAAUUAAUUAAUUAAUUUUACUUUUAUAAAUUGGCAUGACUUUCAUUCUAAUAUGCCUUUUACUUAUUUUCUCAAACUAAUUUACUUGAAUAUUUUCUCUCUGAUGACCUGUCUUGUGAUUUCAAAGAUUCAUUUAUUUCAUAUAUACUUAUUAGGUAACUACUACAGGCCAGAUAUUGUUCUAGGUGCUAGAAAUAGACGAGUAAGGAGACAGAGAAUAAACUUGAUAGCUCGGGAAGGCCAACUAGUUUAGAUUGGCCAGCCUGGAAGGCUGCCGUGAAAAAGUGAUGAUGGAGGUGAGUCCCAAUUGAACAAAGCCGUGCGAAGAUCUGGAAUUAAAGAGGUCCAGGCCCAAGAACCACAGGGGCAAAAGCCCUAAGACAGGAAUGAAUUUUGAUUGAACGAGUUUAGUGUGCUACGGUAUCAGAAAGAAGGCUUUGUGGUAGGAGGGUGGUCAAAGAGAACAAGAUGAUAGAGAUGAGGUCACAGAAAGAGGCAGGGUCAGAUUAUGUGGGACUUUCUAAACCACGGCAAAUGGCUUCCGUUUUAUCCUUAGUGCAAUGUCAAGACAUUGAAAGAUUUUAGCCAAUGAUAUAAUUUACUCUGUUUUUCCUAAAUGCAUUUUCCAGCUGCCAACAUGGUCUCAAAACACCAUGAAAAUUUUUGAUCCUCUUAUAAAUAGGCAUUUUUUCUUCCACUUCUACCUACCAAAUUUUUAAUAACUUGACCAAGACUUCAGUCACCCUACCUUGCAGUAGAUGCUAAGUGCUAGAGAAACAAGGAUGACCAAGACAGACCCCACUCCUGCUGUUACAGAGCUUUGGAUCAAGCAAUUCUUAGCAUCAUUAAUUCACCAAUUAAGGGCAUGCAAGAUGUGUGUCAUGGCUCCAUCUUGUCUCUCCUGUUUCCCCAUUGUCUGACACACAAUAAUGAAUAAGUCAAUGCAAUAAAUAUGUGAAUUUAUAGGUCUCAAGUCAUAGAAGCUUACAUGUAAACCUGAUAGAAUUCAUCUCAUUUAAUUGAACCCAUUAUUUCGACAUAUUCAGGUUAUUUUGGAUCUUGAUUCUGUCAGUGAUACUAUGGGCUAUUUCUUCUAGAUGUGUGUCUUUCAUGGUGACAAAACUCUUUCGACUUUGAUCUAAAGUACUGACAAUAACAUUGUAUAGGAGAAGUCCAGAGCAAUGGAGACCUCCUUCUAACUGGACUUCUUAACAUGAAUCAAACACCCUGUAAGUAUGAAAUUGAAAUCCUUUAAUGACUUCCAUAAUAAGUCCAUGCUGUGUUACUAAUGGCUUGUAAAGAUAGUACAGAGUCCAUGUGGAGAGAGUGAGGUGUCAGAGAAAGACCUGAGCUAAGGGAUGCAGAGAUGUUAAUCAGGCACAGAGGGCGCAGCAAGAGAGUGGUCCCGGCAGAAGCAACAGCAUUAGUUAGAGAAGGUGGUAUAUUCCCGUGAUCUAGGCUGCUGCCUUGGUCAGAUGUUAUAUAUUUAUACCUUGGAGGAUCUCAUCUGGAUGAGCUACUCCAUUACAUAGAGCUCCUGCUCUCUCCUUAUGACGAUACAAUAGUCUUUUAGUUAUUAAAACUUUAAGAUGUAGUUUACGUCUGACAGAUUUAUUUUUGCCCUCUGUAUUACUCUUUUAUGUCAGCAUUUUCAUAACUGUACUCUGUUUUUUAUUCUUCAUAUGAACCUUAAAAUAAUUAUGUUAAAUUCAAAAAAGAAAUAGGGAGAGAAAUUGAUUCAAAUUAAAUUAAAUGUACUAAGAAAAAGUUGGCAUCUUUAAAAUAUCCAAUCUUCCUAUAAAGGAAUACGAAAUGUAUGUCCAGUUGUUUAAAUCUUUAUUUUUAUCUUUAAGAAAUUCCAUAGUUUUUCUUUGUUCUUUCUUUUAGAAAAAGGGUCUCACUCUGUCACCUGGGCUAGAGCGCAGUAAUGCAAUCAUAGCUCACUGUAACCUCAAACUCCUGGGCUCAAAGAAUCCUCCUGCCUCAGACACCCAAGUGGGCUGAGAACACAGGUGCCACCAUGACAGGCUAAAUUUUUUACUUCUUUAUAGAGACGGGGUCCAGCUGGUCUUGAACUCCUGGCCUCAGUAGAUCCUCCUGCCUUGGCUUCCCAAAAGGCUGGGAUUACAGGCAUGAGCCAUAGUGCCUGGCCAACAAAUAUGUUGCACCCUCUGAAGUUUGUAGUUUUCUAUAUUUGGAUACUUAACAUUUCUUAAGAUCCUUGAAUAUUUUAGUUAUGCUAAAUGGUUAAUGGAAUUUUAAAACUUGUAUUUCUAUUUGUAACCCAGGCAUUUAACUGAAUAUUCAUUAAUAUUAAUAGCUUUUGGGGAAUGUUUUAAAAAGUUUUCUAGGCAAAAUAAUCCACUAUUCCCAAAUAUUGAUAUUUUUGUUCCCUUUCUCCUUACCUAUAUAUAGAUUCUCCUUUCCUAUAUAUAGUCCUGUUCUAACCAUUGCAAUAACAUGAGAAUAUAUAUAUUCUUAUAUAUAUAUAGCAAUAACUUUGCAAUAACAUGAGAAAAUAUAUAUAUUUAUAUAUAUAUAUGUAUAACAGAACUUUCAGAAAAAUUUUAAAUAAUGAGGGAAGUAGCGAGCA
ensembl:lncRNA novel transcript, antisense to LDB2